AUUCCAGCUCCAAUAGCGUAUAUUAAAGUUGUUGCAGUUAAAAAGCUCGUAGUCGGAACUUUGGCCGGCGGUGAGCGUCCAAGGGCCUUCGGCCUUUGCGCAUGCGAUCCGCUAGCCAUGUACUUCGGAGGAACGCGUGUGCUUUUCACUAAGUGCGCGUGGGAUUCCGAUAGUUUACUUUGAGAAAAAUAGAGUGUUCAAAGCAGGCGUUUUGCCUUGAAUACAUUAGCAUGGGGUAAUGAAAUAGGACAUUGGUUCUAUUUUGAUGGUUUACGGACCGAUGUAAUGAUUAAUAGGGACAGUCAGGGGCACUCGUAUUCCGCCGAGAGAGGUGAAAUUCUCAGACCAGCGGAAGACGAACCACUGCGAAAGCAUUUGCCAGGGAUGUUUUCAUUA
rnacentral:rRNA from 1 species